rnacentral:rRNA from 1 species
AUUGAACGCUGGCGGCAGGCCUAACACAUGCAAGUCGAGCGGAUGAAGGGAGCUUGCUCCUGGAUUCAGCGGCGGACGGGUGAGUAAUGCCUAGGAAUCUCCCUGGUAGCGGGGGAUAACGUCCGGAAACGGGCGCUAAUACCCCAUACGUCCUGAGGGCGUAAGUGGGGGAUCUUCGGACCUCACGCUAUCAGAUGAGCCUAGGUCGGAUUAGCUAGUUGGUGGGGUAAAGGCCUACCAAGGCGACGAUCCGUAACUGGUCUGAGAGGAUGAUCAGUCACACUGGAACUGAGACACGGUCCAGACUCCUACGGGAGGCAGCAGUGGGGAAUAUUGGACAAUGGGCGAAAGCCUGAUCCAGCCAUGCCGCGUGUGUGAAGAAGGUCUUCGGAUUGUAAAGCACUUUAAGUUGGGAGGAAGGGCAGUAAGUUAAUACCUUGCUGUUUUGACGGUACCAACAGAAUAAGCACCGGCUAACUUCGUG